UUUCUAAGAGUCGAGUUGUUUGGGAUUGCAGCUCAAAAUGGGAGGUAAAUUUCUCCUAAGGCUAAAUAUUGGCGAGAGACCGAUAGCGAACAAGUACCGUGAGGGAAAGAUGAAAAGAACUUUGAAAAGAGAGUUAAACAGUACGUGAAGUUGUUGAAAGGGAAACGAUUGAAGUCAGUCGUACUAACGGGAAAUCAACCUAUUUUGAGUUGUGAAUUUUGGAUCUUGAAGAGUGUAAACCUUCUGGUUCAAAUAUUCGCGCUUUUUGGGCGUAAUUUCUCGUUCGGUAGGUUAACAUCGAUUUUGAAUAUUAUAAAAUGACUGGAGGAAUGUAGCUUCGAUCUCGUAUUGAAGUGUUAUAGCCUUUGGUAGAUGUAAUGAUCAAGAUCGAGGAUUGCAACGAAUACCCUUUGGGCUAUCCGUCUGAUCUCUGAUACGUUGCCUUGGUAACGAAAGCUUGCUUACGGUAUUGAGGUAUAACGGUCAAAAGGUUAGAACGUGAUUACAUUCGUU
rnacentral:rRNA from 1 species